GACGAACGCUGGCGGCGUGCCUAAUACAUGCAAGUCGAACGCACGAAGUUGAAGAGCUUGCUCUUUAACCAAGUGAGUGGCGGACGGGUGAGUAACACGUGGGUAACCUACCCAUUAGAGGGGGAUAACAUUCGGAAACGGAUGCUAAUACCGCAUAGUUUCAGGAAUCGCAUGAUUCGUGAAGGAAAGGUGGCUUCGGCUACCACUAAUGGAUGGACCCGCGGCGUAUUAGCUAGUUGGUGAGGUAAUGGCUCACCAAGGCAAUGAUACGUAGCCGACCUGAGAGGGUGAUCGGCCACACUGGGACUGAGACACGGCCCAGACUCCUACGGGAGGCAGCUUUAGGGAAUCUUCCGCAAUGGGCGAAAGUCUGACGGAGCAACGCCGCGUGAGUGAAGAAGGUUUUCGGAUCGUAAAACUCUGUUGUUAAAGAAGAACAAGGAUGAGAGUAACUGCUCAUCCCCUGACGGUAUUUAACCAGGAAGCCACGGCUAACUACGUGCCAGCAGCCGCGGUAAUACGUAGGUGGCAAGCGUUGUCCGGAUUUAUUGGGCGUAAAGCGAGCGCAGGCGGUUCUUUAAGUCUGAUGUGAAAGCCCCCGGCUCAACCGGGGAGGGUCAUUGGAAACUGGAGAACUUGAGUGCAGAAGAGGAGAGUGGAAUUCCACGUGUAGCGGUGAAAUGCGUAGAUAUGUGGAGGAACACCAGUGGCGAAGGCGACUCUCUGGUCUGUAACUGACGCUGAGGCUCGAAAGCGUGGGGAGCAAACAGG
rnacentral:rRNA from 1 species